AGUGAACGCUGGCGGUAGGCCUAACACAUGCAAGUCGAACGGCAGCACAGUAAGAGCUUGCUCUUACGGGUGGCGAGUGGCGGACGGGUGAGGAAUACAUCGGAAUCUACUUUUUCGUGGGGGAUAACGUAGGGAAACUUACGCUAAUACCGCAUACGACCUACGGGUGAAAGCAGUGGAUCUUCGGACCUUUCGCGAUUGAAUGAGCCGAUGUCGGAUUAGCUAGUUGGCGGGGUAAAGGCCCACCAAGGCGACGAUCCGUAGCUGGUCUGAGAGGAUGGUCAGCCACACUGGAACUGAGACACGGUCCAGACUCCUACGGGAGGCAGCAGUGGGGAAUAUUGGACAAUGGGCGCAAGCCUGAUCCAGCCAUACCGCGUGGGUGAAGAAGGCCUUCGGGUUGUAAAGCCCUUUUGUUGGGAAAGAAAAGCAGCAGGUUAAUACCCCGCUGUUCUGACGGUACCCAAAGAAUAAGCACCGGCUAACUUCGUG
rnacentral:rRNA from 1 species